rnacentral:misc_RNA from 1 species
AAGUCGUAACAAGGUUUCCGUAGGUGAACCUGCGGAAGGAUCAUUAGCGAAUAACUAUGGCGUUGGUUGUAGCUGGCUCCUCGGAGCAAUGUGCACGCCCGCCAUUUUUAUCUUUCCACCUGUGCACCGACUGUAGGUCUGGAUACCUCUCGCCUCCGGGCGGAUGCGAGGGUUGCUCGUAAGGGCUUCCCUUGAACUUCCAGGCUCUACGUCUUUUUACACACCCCAAUAGUAUGAUGCAGAAUGUAGUCAAUGGGCUUCUCAAGCCUAUAAAACACUAUACAACUUUCAGCAACGGAUCUCUUGGCUCUC